rnacentral:misc_RNA from 1 species
UACGUAGGUGGCAAGCGUUGUCCGGAAUUAUUGGGCGUAAAGCGCGCGCAGGCGGCCUCUUGAGUCUGAUGUGAAAGCCCCCGGCUCAACCGGGGAGGGCCAUUGGAAACUGGGAGGCUUGAGUAUAGGAGAGAAGAGUGGAAUUCCACGUGUAGCGGUGAAAUGCGCAGAUAUCGGGAGGAACACCAGUAGCGAAGGCGGCUCUCUGGCCUAUAACUGACGCUGAGGCGCGAAAGCGUGGGGAGCAAACAGG